rnacentral:rRNA from 1 species
UACACUCCUGCGGGAGGCAGCAGUGGGGAAUUUUGGACAAUGGGCGAAAGCCUGAUCCAGCAAUGCCGCGUGAGUGAAGAAGGCCUUCGGGUUGUAAAGCUCUUUUGUCAGGGAAGAAACGGUGAGAGCUAAUAUCUCUUGCUAAUGACGGUACCUGAAGAAUAAGCACCGGCUAACUACGUGCCAGCAGCCGCGGUAAUACGUAGGGUGCAAGCGUUAAUCGGAAUUACUGGGCGUAAAGCGUGCGCAGGCGGUUUUGUAAGUCUGAUGUGAAAUCCCCGGGCUCAACCUGGGAAUUGCAUUGGAGACUGCAAGGCUAGAAUCUGGCAGAGGGGGGUAGAAUUCCACGUGUAGCAGUGAAAUGCGUAGAUAUGUGGAGGAACACCGAUGGCGAAGGCAGCCCCCUGGGUCAAGAUUGACGCUCAUGCACGAAAGCGUGGGGAGCAAACAGGAUUAGAUACCCUUGUAGUCCCAUG